rnacentral:rRNA from 1 species
GAUGAACGCUGGCGGCGCGCUUAACACAUGCAAGUCGAGCGAGAACCAGCCCUUCGGGGCUGGGGAAAGCGGCGAACGGGUGAGUAACACGUGGGUAAUCUGCCCUCGGCACCGGAAUAGCCCGGGGAAACCCGGAUUAAUGCCGGAUGGCCUCUCCGCCCUUCGGGGCGGUGAGAAAAGGUAGCUUCGGCCUCCGGCCGAGGAUGAGCCCGCGGCCGAUUAGCUUGUUGGUGAGGUAACGGCUCACCAAGGCGACGAUCGGGAGCUGGUCUGAGAGGACGAUCAGGCACACUGGGACUGAGACACGGCCCAGACUCCUACGGGAGGCAGCAGUGGGGAAUCUUGCGCAAUGGGCGAAAGCCUGACGCAGCGACGCCGCGUGCGGGAAGAAGGCCUUCGGGUUGUAAACCGCUUUCAGGAGGGACGAAGCCACUCGGGUUAAUAGCCUAGAGGGUGACGGUACCUCCAGAAGAAGCCCCGGCUAACUACGUGCCAGCCGCCGCCGUAAAAC